rnacentral:rRNA from 1 species
GGGUUGUGAGGUUAAGCGAAUAAGCGUACACGGUGGAUGCCUAGGCAAUCAGAGGCGAUGAAGGACGUGCUAAUCUGCGAAAAGCGUCGGUAAGGUGAUAUGAACCGUUAUACCCGACGAUAUCCGAAUGGGGAAACCCAGUAUCCAAUGGAUACUAUCAUUAACUGAAUCCAUAGGUUAAUGAGGCGAACCGGGAGAACUGAAACAUCUCAGUACCCCGAGGAAAAGAAAUCAACCGAGAUUCCCCUAGUAGCGGCGAGCGAACGGGGAGCAGCCCAGAGUCUUAAUCAAUAGCAGUGUCAGGAGAACGGUCUGGAAAGUCCGGCAGUAAAGGGUGAUAGCCCCGUAUCUGAAGAUGCUGUUAUUGUGAACUCGACGAGUAGGGCGGGACACGUGUUAUCCUGUCUGAAUAUGGGGGGACCAUCCUCCAAGGCUAAAUACUCCUGAUUGACCGAUAGUGAACCAGUACCGUGAGGGAAAGGCGAAAAGAACCCCGGCGAGGGGAGUGAAAAAGAACCUGAAACCGUGUACGUACAAGCAGUAGGAGCCUCUUUAUGGGGUGACUGCGUACCUUUUGUAUAAUGGGUCAGCGACUUAUAUUCUGUAGCAAGGUUAACCGUAUAGGGGAGCCGUAGGGAAACCGAGUCUUAACUGGGCGAAUGAGUUGCAGGGUAUAGACCCGAAACCCGGUGAUCUAUCCAUGGGCAGGUUGAAGGUUGGGUAACACUAACUGGAGGACCGAACCGACUAAUGUUGAAAAAUUAGCGGAUGACUUGUGGAUGGGGGUGAAAGGCCAAUCAAACCGGGAGAUAGCUGGUUCUCCCCGAAAGCUAUUUAGGUAGCGCCUCGUGAACUCAUCUUCGGGGGUAGAGCACUGUUUCGACUAGGGGGUCAUCCCGACUUACCAACUCGAUGCAAACUGCGAAUACCGAAGAAUGUUAUCACGGGAGACACACGGCGGGUGCUAACGUCCGUCGUGAAGAGGGAAACAACCCAGACCGCCAGCUAAGGUCCCAAAGUCAUGGUUAAGUGGGAAACGAAGUGGGAAGGCUCAGACAGCCAGGAUGUUGGCUUAGAAGCAGCCAUCAUUUAAAGAAAGCGUAAUAGCUCACUGGUCGAGUCGGCCCGCGCGGAAGAUGUAACGGGGCUAAACCAUGCACCGAAGCUGCGGCAGCGACACAAAGUGUUGUUGGGUAGGGGAGCGUUCUGUAAGCCUGCGAAGGUGUACUGUGAGGUAUGCUGGAGGUAUCAGAAGUGCGAAUGCUGACAUAAGUAACGAUAAUGCGGGUGAAAAACCCGCACGCCGGAAGACCAAGGGUUCCUGUCCAACGUUAAUCGGGGCAGGGUGAGUCGACCCCUAAGGCGAGGCUGAAAAGCGUAGUCGAUGGGAAACGGGUUAAUAUUCCCGUACUGGUGGUAACUGCGAUGGGGGAACGGAGAAGGCUAGGUUGUCCGGGCGACGGUCGUCCCGGUUCAAGCAGGUAGGCAGAGUGAUUAGGCAAAUCCGGUCACUUAAUGCUGAGAUGUGAUGACGAACCACCAAGGUGGUGAAGCAAUUGAUGCCCUGCUUCCAGGAAAAGCCUCUAAGCUUCAGGUUACCAACAAUCGUACCCCAAACCGACACAGGUGGUCAGGUAGAGAAUACUCAGGCGCUUGAGAGAACUCGGGUGAAGGAACUAGGCAAAAUGGUGCCGUAACUUCGGGAGAAGGCACGCUGGCGGUAGGUAAAGUCCCUCGCGGACAGCGCUGAAGCCAGUCGAAGAUACCAGCUGGCUGCAACUGUUUAUUAAAAACACAGCACUGUGCAAACACGAAAGUGGACGUAUACGGUGUGACGCCUGCCCGGUGCUGGAAGGUUAAUUGAUGGGGUCAGCCGUAAGGCGAAGCUCCUGAUCGAAGCCCCAGUAAACGGCGGCCGUAACUAUAACGGUCCUAAGGUAGCGAAAUUCCUUGUCGGGUAAGUUCCGACCUGCACGAAUGGCGUAAUGAUGGCCAGGCUGUCUCCACCCGAGACUCAGUGAAAUUGAACUCGCUGUGAAGAUGCAGUGUACCCGCGGCAAGACGGAAAGACCCCGUGAACCUUUACUAUAGCUUGACACUGAACAUUGAGCCUUGAUGUGUAGGAUAGGUGGGAGGCUUUGAAGUGUGGACGCCAGUCUGCAUGGAGCCAACCUUGAAAUACCACCCUUUAACGUUUGAUGUUCUAACCUAGGCCCAUAAACUGGGUCGGGGACCGUGUCUGGUGGGUAGUUUGACUGGGGCGGUCUCCUCCUAAAGAGUAACGGAGGAGCACGAAGGUUGGCUAAGCAUGGUCGGACAUCAUGCGGUUAGUGCAAAGGCAUAAGCCAGCUUGACUGCGAGAGUGACGGCUCGAGCAGGUACGAAAGUAGGUCUUAGUGAUCCGGUGGUUCUGAAUGGAAGGGCCAUCGCUCAACGGAUAAAAGGUACUCCGGGGAUAACAGGCUGAUACCGCCCAAGAGUUCAUAUCGACGGCGGUGUUUGGCACCUCGAUGUCGGCUCAUCACAUCCUGGGGCUGAAGUAGGUCCCAAGGGUAUGGCUGUUCGCCAUUUAAAGUGGUACGCGAGCUGGGUUUAGAACGUCGUGAGACAGUUCGGUCCCUAUCUGCCGUGGGCGUUGGAAGAUUGAGAGGGGUUGCUCCUAGUACGAGAGGACCGGAGUGAACGCACCACUGGUGUUCGGGUUGUCAUGCCAAUGGCAUUGCCCGGUAGCUAAGUGCGGAAGAGAUAACCGCUGAAAGCAUCUAAGCGGGAAACUUGCCUCGAGAUGAGUCUUCCCUGUCGCUUUAAGCGACCUAAAGGAACGUUUAAGACUAAGACGUUGAUAGGCUGGGUGUGUAAGCGUAGCGAUACGUUGAGCUAACCAGUACUAAUGAACCGUGAGGCUUAACCUGACAACACCGAAAGUGUUUUG